GGGGGCGUACUGGCUUCGACUCAUCGUUGGAAGCGCAGGCGGCAUGUCGAGGAUGGUUCGUUGGCCUCGUAAAAAACCGGACCAAACAAAAUAAACGCAGAUCACGAAGGUCUAGCUCUCGCGGCUUAAUUGACCGCGACGUUUCCGGAGCGACGCCUGCUAGCGUCGGAAACGUGGACAGCAGGCUGGCAAAUCGGCGGAGCGACCGCGCCGGUUUGUGAAUCGAUUGCGCGGACGCUCGGGAGCCGGCAGUGCGCCGGUGCAAGGUUCGGCUCCUUAAAACUUUUCGCCGGAUAAACAUGUAGAUGACUGUGCGGAUAGCGACGAGGACAGGGGUUCAACUCCCCUCGCCUCCAGCC
rfam:Verrucomicrobia bacterium 13_1_40CM_4_54_4 13_1_40cm_4_scaffold_1485, whole genome shotgun sequence.